rnacentral:rRNA from 1 species
UACGAAGGGGGCUAGCGUUGCUCGGAAUUACUGGGCGUAAAGCGUGCGUAGGUGGUUCGUUAAGUCUGAUGUGAAAGCCCUGGGCUCAACCUGGGAAUGGCAUUGGAUACUGGCGACCUAGAGUGCGGUAGAGGGUAGCGGAAUUCCCGGUGUAGCAGUGAAAUGCGUAGAUAUCGGGAGGAACAUCCGUGGCGAAGGCGGCUACCUGGACCAGCACUGACACUGAGGCACGAAAGCGUGGGGAGCAAACAGG